GACGGGGGAUGCAAGCGUUACCCGGAAUCACUGGGCGUAAAGCGUCUGUAGGUGGUGAUGCAAGUCACUGGUGCAAAACUCUGGCUCAACCGGAGGAAAACCAGUGAAACUGCAUGGCUAGAGCGCGGGGGAGGUAGAAGGCAUUGCCUGAGUGGCGGUGAAAUGCGUAGAUACAGGGAAGGACACCGGAGGCGAAAGCGUUCUACUGGAACACAACUGACACUGAGAGACGAAAGCUAGGGGAGCGAAUGGG
rnacentral:rRNA from 1 species